rnacentral:lncRNA from 1 species
CUUUUAUCAUGGGAAACAAAAGCUAAGCUCUAAAUGUUAGGUUGAAACUGAAGAUUUUGAUACAAUUUAUAAGAAUGACCCUACUUCAAUUUGAAGAACUCAGAUCCCUUUGGCAAUGAGUUUGUUAAUGGUGGUGUGUUGGUGUCACCUGGUGACAGAAGCCUGAACUGCAGCUUGAACACUGUGGAGCAGUAGAGUGGGAGAGAGAAGCUGUGGCCCAAGCACACUAGAAAAUCUGGGGCCAGAAGUGAAACAAGGGAAUUAUGAAGAUGGCAGUCCUAAUGACCAGAUCCUUAUCCACAUCCUUCACUACGUUCUGAAAAUAAAG